rnacentral:rRNA from 1 species
UCCACAAUGGGCGCAAGCCUGAUGCAGACAUGGCCGCCUCUGUGAUGAAGGACUUCCGCUUUUAAGCACAUUCAGACGUGAGGACGGCGGUGUCGCUCCUGUMGCAGAUUUUUGRACGUAGCGACUSAAGAGAGCACGGCUACUUUCGUGCCAGCAGCCACGUGUAUACGGACGSUGCGAGCGUMAAUCGGAAUUACUGGGCGUAAAGYGCAUGCAGGUGGUUUGUUAAGUYAGAUGUGAAWGCCYGGGGCUCAACCUCSGAAUAGCACUUGAAACUGGCAGACUASARUACUGUAGAGGGGGGUAGAAWUUCAGGUGUAGCGSUGAAUUGCGUAGAGAUCUGAASGAAUACCGGUGGCSAGUGGCKCCCCCGCUGGACAGAUACUGACAUUCAGAUGCGAAAGCGYGGGGAGCAAACWSGAUUAGAUAYCCUGGUAGUCCACGCCGUAAACGAUGUCUACUUGGAGRUUGUSGCCCCCASCCGUGGCUUUCGGAGCUAACGCGUUAAGUAGACYGCCUGGGGAGUACCGUSSCMAGAUUWAAACUCAAAUGAAUUGACGGGGGCCCGCACAAGCGGWGGAGCAUGUGGUUUAAUUCGAUGCAACGCGAAGAACCUUACCUACUCUUGACAUCCAGAGAACUUUCCAGAGAUGGAUUGGUGCCUUCGGGAACUCUGAGACAGGUGCUGCAUGGCUGUCGUCAGCUCGUGUUGUGAAAUGUUGGGUUAAGUCCCGCAACGAGCGCAACCC